rnacentral:rRNA from 1 species
AAUGAACGCUGGCGGCAGGCCUAACACAUGCAAGUCAAACGGAUCCUUCGGGAUUAGUGGCGGACGGGUGAGUAACGCGUGGGAACAUACCCUUCGGUACGGAAUAGCCUCGGGAAACUGGGAGUAAUACCGUAUGUGGUCGAGAGACGAAAGAUUUAUCGCGAAAGGAUUGGCCCGCGUUGGAUUAGGUAGUUGGUGGGGUAAAGGCCUACCAAGCCGACGAUCCAUAGCUGGUUUGAGAGGAUGAUCAGCCACACUGGGACUGAGACACGGCCCAGACUCCUACGGGAGGCAGCAGUGGGGAAUCUUAGACAAUGGGGGAAACCCUGAUCUAGCCAUGCCGCGUGAUCGAUGAAGGCCUUAGGGUUGUAAAGAUCUUUCAGGUGGGAAGAUAAUGACUGUACCACCAGAAGAAGCCCCGGCUAACUCCGUGCCAGCCGCCGCAGUAA